rnacentral:rRNA from 1 species
CAGCCGCCACGGUAAUACGUAGGUGGCAAGCGUUGUCCGGAAUUAUUGGGCGUAAAGGGCUCGCAGGCGGUUUCUUAAGUCUGAUGUGAAAGCCCCCGGCUCAACCGGGGAGGGUCAUUGGAAACUGGGAAACUUGAGUGCAGAAGAGGAGAGUGGAAUUCCACGUGUAGCGAUGAAAUGCGUAGAGAUGUGGAGGAACACCAGUGGCGAAGGCGACUCUCUGGUCUGUAACUGACGCUGAGGAGCGAAAGCGUGGGGAGCGAACAGGAUUAGAUACCCCAGUAGUCCCUGUCUCUUAUAC